rnacentral:rRNA from 1 species
UACGUAGGUGGCAAGCGUUGUCCGGAAUUAUUGGGCGUAAAGGGCGCGCAGGCGGCGUCGUAAGUCGGUCUUAAAAGUGUGGGGCUUAACCCCGUGAGGGGACCGAAACUGCGAUGCUAGAGUAUCGGAGAGGAAAGCGGAAUUCCUAGUGUAGCGGUGAAAUGCGUAGAUAUUAGGAGGAACACCAGUGGCGAAAGCGGCUUUCUGGACGACAACUGACGCUGAGGCGCGAAAGCCAGGGGAGCAAACGGG